rnacentral:rRNA from 1 species
GAUGAACGCUGGCGGCGUGCCUAAUACAUGCAAGUCGAACGAAUCUUCUUCGGAAGAUGAGUGGCGAACGGGGGAGUAAUACAUAGGGAACGUGCCCCUGUGCGGGGGAUAACAGGAGGAAACUCCUGCUAAUACUGCAUAGCCAUGAGCACCGCACGGAGGUCAUGCCAAAUACCCUCUCGGGGAUAGCGCAGGGAUGUACCUAUGGCGCAUUAGCUGGUGGGCGGGGCAACGGCCCACCAAGGCCACGAUGCUUAGCCGGCCUGAGAGGGCGGACGGCCACAUUGGGACUGAGACACGGCCCAGACUCCUACGGGAGGCAGCAGUAGGGAAUUUUCGGCGAUGGGGGAAACCCUGACCGAGCAACGCCGCAUGAGCGAAGAAGGCCUUCGGGUCGUAAAGCUCUGUUGUAAAGGAAGAACGGCGCAUACAGGAAAUGGUAUGCGAGUGGCGGUACUUUACCAGAAAGCCACGGCUAACUACGUGCCAGCCGCCGCUGUAA